AGAACGAACGCUGGCGGCAGGCCUAACACAUGCAAGUCGAACGCCCCGCAAGGGGAGUGGCGGACGGGUGAGUAACGCGUGGGAACAUACCCUUCGGUUCGGAAUAGCUCAGGGAAACUUGGAUUAAUACCGGAUACGUCCGUAAGGAGAAAGAUUUAUCGCCGAAGGAUUGGCCCGCGUCUGAUUAGCUUGUUGGUGAGGUAAUGGCUCACCAAGGCGACGAUCAGUAGCUGGUCUGAGAGGAUGACCAGCCACAUUGGGACUGAGACACGGCCCAAACUCCUACGGGAGGCAGCAGUGGGGAAUAUUGGACAAUGGGCGAAAGCCUGAUCCAGCCAUGCCGCGUGAGUGAUGAAGGCCUUAGGGUUGUAAAGCUCUUUUACCCGGGAAGAUAAUGACGGUACCGGGAGAAUAAGCCCCGGCUAACUUCGUGCCAGCAGCCGCGGUAAUACGAAGGGGGCUAGCGUUGUUCGGAAUUACUGGGCGUAAAGCGCGUGUAGGCGGGCUUUUAAGUCAGGGGUGAAAUGCCAAGGCUCAACCUUGGAACUGCCUUUGAUACUGGAAGUCUUGGGUCCGGGAGAGGUGAGUGGAACUGCGAGUGUAGAGGUGAAAUUCGUAGAUAUUCGCAAGAACACCAGUGGCGAAGGCGGCUCACUGGCCCGGAACUGACGCUGAGACGCGAAAGCGUGGGGAGCAAACAGGAUUAGAUACCCUGGUAGUCCACGCUGUAAACGAUGGAUGCUAGCCGUUGGGGAGCUUGCUCUUCAGUGGCGCAGCUAACGCUUUAAGCAUCCCGCCUGGGGAGUACGGUCGCAAGAUUAAA
rnacentral:rRNA from 1 species